rnacentral:lncRNA from 1 species
GUGUGUGCAAAAAGGGUGUAAAAUAUCAAAAAUACAUGUUAAUAAUUCACUUGAUUCAAGUCAUUUGUUGUUUCAAGAAGUUUGAACAUUAUACAUGUUCUUAUAUUUGUAUUGAAAUCUACACAAAUAUUCAUUACAACUGGCUUCUUAUGCCAUUCUUCAAUAACAUGAAAUUAAAAACAAACAAUAAGAUGUUGCUGUAUAUAUCAUUUUUUAACAUGAAGGACAGGGUGACAAUAUGUUUCAGUUCCCACUUUUAAGUAAUGUUUGAAAAUAAACUCUGAUAAAUAUUGCUUCAUUCUAAAAUAGCUUGUAAAAUUUAGAGACAAA